rnacentral:RNase_P_RNA from 2 species
UCCUCGCGAAUGCCGCGUUUCUUUGCUCACAAACCGACUCGUACACACGUACGCCGUCUUCAAUGGCAAAUGAGAAAUUCGGAGUAAUCUUCACCUUUUGCACGCCAUCCGACAAUCCUCUCACUGAAGUUUGCGCGGCUCUGGCAUCUGCCCGUGAGGGCCUACCAUGACACUCAUGGCUGCACUUGGCAUCAGAAAUCUCAGCCGCGGGUCAGCGCAUAUGCUCUGUGCUCGUUGGCUAUGGGAGCUAGUGCGAAGAUUGUGUUUGAGAGAACACUUUAGUGCAAUACGCGGCGUAUCUGAGUCUCUUGCUAUCUUCGGGUGGUGGAGAGGAGGGUAUCAUUCGAUUCCGAUUACUCUUGUGAGGA